rnacentral:rRNA from 1 species
UACGUAGGGUGCAAGCGUUGUCCGGAAUUAUUGGGCGUAAAGAGCUCGUAGGCGGUCUGUCGCGUCGGCUGUGAAAACUCGGGGCUCAACUCUGGGCGUGCAGUGGGUACGGGCAGGCUAGAGUGCGGUAGGGGAGACUGGAAUUCCUGGUGUAGCGGUGAAAUGCGCAGAUAUCAGGAAGAACACCCGUGGCGAAGGCGGUUCUCUGGGACGGUACUGACGCUGAGACGCGAAAGCGUGGGGAGCGAACAGG